GGCCUCGUAGCUCAGCUGGUAGAGCGUGCGCGUACAAAACGUAGCCGGUGCCCAUUCGGGAGUUCGAAUCCCACUGAGGCUA
rnacentral:tRNA from 1 species